rnacentral:rRNA from 1 species
UACGGAGGAUGCAAGCGUUAUCCGGAUUCAUUGGGUUUAAAGGGUGCGUAGGCGGGCUAUUAAGUCAGUGGUGAAAUCCUGCAGCUUAACUGCAGAACUGCCGUUGAUACUGAUAGUCUUGAGUUUGGUUAAGGUAGGCGGAAUGUGUAAUGUAGCGGUGAAAUGCUUAGAUAUUACACAGAACACCAAUUGCGUAGGCAGCUUACUGAGCCGACACUGACGCUGAGGCACGAAAGCGUGGGUAGCAAACA